ensembl:lncRNA
UUUUCUUUUUUUUUUUUUUUUUCAUUUUUGAAAUUGACAGUUGAAUUUGGAUGCAGUCCAGUGGCAGCUUCUGGGGCUGUAGGGAAAAGUUGAAAUAUCACAGAAGUCAAUUCUGCUGGUAAUGACAAGUUUGUGUUCCUAGUCAGUUCUUAAUAAUGCUCUGCAUGCUAUCUGAAAUGUGUUAGCUGAUUCUUAUUGUGUGUUCACAUAAAAUCUGUCCUGGAUUUUUUUUUAAACUGGGGACGAGCAUCACCCAUUUAAAGUCUUUGGAUCUUCAGAAGAAGAGAACCUCACCAGCAGCAAGACAGUAAAGAUUUGCAGCUGUGUUAAUUCAUAUUGUUUUCUACCUUUAUCUGUUUUAGACAAGAAGACAUUUUCAGCAACUCUGCUAUCUCAUGGUCUGAAAUAAUUUUUGGUAAUUUCACAUGGUACUUUGUUUGACCGUUGUUGGAAAUAAAAUUAUGUGCUAGCUAAUGCUGUUAUAAAAGGAGUGUGUGCUGUAUCAGUAAUAGCAAUGAUGUGAGCUCUAAGUGUGAGUAUUACAGUUUUUUAGGGAGUUAAGGAGGCUUUAGAUGCAAAAAUGUAAAUUCGUUGAAGACUGCCAGAUUUUAAUGAUAAACCAUAUGUGAUAAAUUGAUCAGGAAACUCUGAUGGGGAACAGGGGAAAAAAAAGAUAAAUGUUUGAUAGCAUCUAACUGGUGGUACUCUCCUUACAUUGCCAGGAGGCAACAGAUAUUUUUGACCUGCCAUUUAAUGACCUGCCAAAAUGAGAUACUGUUUGAAGAUAAUUUUGUAACUGACAUGUAUCCGUUAGUUUCCUUCUGCUUUCAUCUGCUAGUUUGCAUUAUGGUUAUAAAACUCUUGGAUAUAUUGUAAGCAGUUUAAGAGCAAGUUGGGGAGACUGGUAUGGGAAGCAUACUCUAACCCACUGGAGUCUGGAAGCCUGAGAAGUUUAGAUUUGGUUUGCUGUGGUGUCUGCUAUGUUUCCCCUAUAAGGCCCCCAACAAAUAUUUCUCUCCUACUCCAGGAAGCAUCACAGGGAGCAGUUUCAGUGCCUACGUCCAUCCACCACCUCUCUCUUCUCCAGUGAAAAUGCCCACAGAAUAUAUUUCAUCACUUCUGUGUUGGACUGCAGAGAAAAAGAAUCGUCUGGUAUUGAUGUGCUGAAUACAACAGACUAAAUUUGGCAUCGUUGAGCAGGACUCCUUAAUUUCAAUAAUAAAUAUAAAUGACUCAGCUCCAGAAGCAACUUUUUAUUUGUCAGGUGGUUAUUCUUUUCAUGGAAAAAUUGAACCUGCCUGUACUUCAAGUAUGUGAACUAUUGCUGAUCAUUGAUAGAUAUAUUUUAAUGAAUUAGACUACUAUGAAGUAAUAAAAUCUUGCCAUGGAGAACAUCUAUCUAGUAAAUGUACAAUAAGUUGUAAGGCCAGCCCCUGGAGUCUUUCUUCACUGAAAUUUACGUGAGCUCCUGCUGCUGCUGUACUGUUUAAGGGUUCACAGGGCUUUAAAAUUUUGAAAAAUUCAGUACGUAAACAUGAUUGAGGCAGAAAAUUGUAAUACGUAUAGAUGACUCAGGCAAAAUGCCUUUUUGUUUAUUUGGCUUCUGUUUUUUUUAAAUAUAUGCGUAUAUGAUCCUUUGUCCACUUUUUUUUUUUAUCUAAGAAAACAUGGCAGAGACUGCUGGUUGUGGGUGACACCUCCUGUAGACUAUAAAAAGAAGCGUUCAGUUUGUGUAGCUGCUGUUUAAAACAAUUUGCAUUCUUCAGGAAGUUGAUGGGGGAGGAUGGAUGAUCCAGUGGCAUGGAACUUAUGAUAUUCCUUUAAAAUUUUAAAAUUUUGCUAUUGGGUGUAAAAAAAAAAAAAUAAAA